UCUGCGCUCCACGUUGUGUUGAUGUGGUGCCYGGGUGCUUGACGGAGCUGGAGGACAGAGACUUACCGUCGUGGGUGACACCUGGUGCAGAAGGGUGCUGGAAAGCUGCGUAAUACCGAGCCGGAACAUGAAAGGCCCCGAAACAUCGGAUGACAUUUGAAAUGCUGAGAUCAGGGGUUUAAACCUGUUCUCCAAAUAAUGCUGCUCGCACCACGUGGAUCAAAGAUGAAGUGUUGAGCGCCUGUUCCCCUGCCUGCGACCAGCAGCUCGCGCUGGGCUUGUCGGGAUUUGAACUGUGCCCGAGGUCAUCGAAAGGCGGUGCUUGUCCGCUGAAGAGCUCUGACUCUGCGACUUCAAAGCUGUUCUGCCGUUUGCGGUGCUGUUCUGUCCUGCACAAUGGAGCUGCGUUGUCACGUCCUUAGAUCAGGUUUGUGCCUUUGUGUCUGUGGAAUGAUAAGCCCGGGCUCGGGGAGGCGGUUCACAAGCGU
rnacentral:lncRNA from 1 species